rnacentral:sRNA from 2 species
CAUGGAUAUAAACAAACGAACAACGAAAAUCCCCAGCCAAGGCCAACUUGUUUGGUGAAUUAAAAGACUCCUCGGGCUGAACCUGGAAGUUUCAAUUUCCCCUGGCAUCUUCAAAAAUUUUUAGUUUCAAGUCCUUGGGCAUUGAGCGUGGUACUGGUAAUGUUAGGGUUUUCAUCUGUCCUUUUCCACUCCCGCCUGCCCGCCCCAUAAACCGCUCAAUUGUUGAUGGAAUAAACCAGCGAUGAUAUAUGAAGAUCUUUGGAAUCCCUAGAUUCAAGCUUGAUAUUCUUAGUUCUUAUAUAAUCCUUUGUCUUUCUUUAAAAAUUAAAAAUUGAAAUUGAAAUAUAACUAAAAUAACGAUAAAUAAACGGGUCAAGAUAUAAAUGCAUAAAAAAAACAGAACUAGAAGCAAAUCUUAUUUACGUUGAACUUGUUCAAAUUACAAGCAUUCAUUCCAUGGCUUGAAAUGGUCUGAAGCCUGUAGGUUUUGUACCUGAGGCAUGUCGACAAACGGAGUGACUCCUGACUUUGAUGAUGAUUAUAUCGUUUCCCGGCAGCCUGAUGAGGCUUGCUCGUUGAUCGUUUGUGCGUAGAUGAACCCCCUCGCCUCUAGAUUUUUAAACAAUCUAGACGUUUUAGACGGUUGAGAAUGGCGUGGAGCGGUCCUGGUGGGGCAAAGUGGAGGAGUGCGCUAUUUUGGCGGAGAAAGACCAACUUUCAACGGUUUCUUCCCCUUGACGAAGUGGUUUGCUUCUUGGGGUCUUGAGUGGCGAGAUGUGGGAGGCUUUCUUCCUUGCGCUUUUUCUGUGGGCCCGCUGAUUUUGUUUUUGAUAAUAAAUAGGAGUCGAGUUGAGAUCAUGGUUAUUGGGAGGGCAGGGGGUAAAUUGGAUAUAUAGUGAGUGAGCAGAUCAGUAGAGCCUUCAAGGGCGUUGAUGACAUCACCAACAGAACCGAAGGAUCUUUACUUGAACAAAUUCCAUAAGUUUUAUGUGUGACUUGGGCUGAAAGCCCCUUUGUCAUUUUCAUCCAAAGCGAGCAACCUCUGCACUUAUGGAGUCAAAGUUGGCCCCUUCUCCUUUUUUCUGAAAAAAAGAUUGAGGACUGAGAAGAAGGCUACUUGAUUGAAGAGAUUGGUUUCAAUCAGCUAUCCUGGCAGUAAACCAACUCUAUCAAUGAUAUUCAUGAAAUGAUAUCCAGGAGGAUCAUUAGGGAGUUUAAAAAGAGAGAGAAAAAGAGAGUGCGUAGGAACGACACUCUCCAUACCGGCCAACACCAAACACCAAAAAAGUUUUGAUAGGAGAACCCAAUAUAUGCACCAUACCUGCAGACAGAGGCUCAUGCCCCUGGCCUCAAGCUUGCAGCAGACAGGCACGACAAGAGCAGGGUGCAGGGUGCAUGG